rnacentral:rRNA from 1 species
UACGUAGGGUGCAAGCGUUAAUCGGAAUUACUGGGCGUAAAGCGUGCGCAGGCGGCUUUGCAAGACAGAUGUGAAAUCCCCGGGCUUAACCUGGGAACUGCAUUUGUGACUGCAUGGCUGGAGUGCGGCAGAGGGGGAUGGAAUUCCGCGUGUAGCAGUGAAAUGCGUAGAUAUGCGGAGGAACACCGAUGGCGAAGGCAAUCCCCUGGGCCUGCACUGACGCUCAUGCACGAAAGCGUGGGGAGCAAACAAGG